UGCAGUCGAGCGGACAGAUGGGAGCUUGCUCCCUGAUGUUAGCGGCGGACGGGUGAGUAACACGUGGGUAACCUGCCUGUAAGACUGGGAUAACUCCGGGAAACCGGGGCUAAUACCGGAUGGUUGUUUGAACCGCAUGGUUCAGACAUAAAAGGUGGCUUCGGCUACCACUUACAGAUGGACCCGCGGCGCAUUAGCUAGUUGGUGAGGUAACGGCUCACCAAGGCGACGAUGCGUAGCCGACCUGAGAGGGUGAUCGGCCACACUGGGACUGAGACACGGCCCAGACUCCUACGGGAGGCAGCAGUAGGGAAUCUUCCGCAAUGGACGAAAGUCUGACGGAGCAACGCCGCGUGAGUGAUGAAGGUUUUCGGAUCGUAAAGCUCUGUUGUUAGGGAAGAACAAGUGCCGUUCAAAUAGGGCGGCACCUUGACGGUACCUAACCAGAAAGCCACGGCUAACUACGUGCCAGCAGCCGCGGUAAUACGUAGGUGGCAAGCGUUGUCCGGAAUUAUUGGGCGUAAAGGGCUCGCAGGCGGUUUCUUAAGUCUGAUGUGAAAGCCCCCGGCUCAACCGGGGAGGGUCAUUGGAAACUGGGGAACUUGAGUGCAGAAGAGGAGAGUGGAAUUCCACGUGUAGCGGUGAAAUGCGUAGAGAUGUGGAGGAACACCAGUGGCGAAGGCGACUCUCUGGUCUGUAACUGACGCUGAGGAGCGAAAGCGUGGGGAGCGAACAGGAUUAGAUACCCUGGUAGUCCACGCCGUAAACGAUGAGUGCUAAGUGUUAGGGGGUUUCCGCCCCUUAGUGCUGCAGCUAACGCAUUAAGCACUCCGCCUGGGGAGUACGGUCGCAAGACUGAAACUCAAAGGAAUUGACGGGGGCCCGCACAAGCGGUGGAGCAUGUGGUUUAAUUCGAAGCAACGCGAAGAACCUUACCAGGUCUUGACAUCCUCUGACAAUCCUAGAGAUAGGACGUCCCCUUCGGGGGCAGAGUGACAGGUGGUGCAUGGUUGUCGUCACCUCCU
rnacentral:rRNA from 1 species